rnacentral:rRNA from 1 species
AUACGUAGGGUGCGAGCGUUGUCCGGAAUUACUGGGCGUAAAGAGCUCGUAGGUGGUUUGUCGCGUCGUCUGUGAAAUUCCGGGGCUUAACUCCGGGCGUGCAGGCGAUACGGGCAUAACUUGAGUACUGUAGGGGAGACUGGAAUUCCUGGUGUAGCGGUGAAAUGCGCAGAUAUCAGGAGGAACACCGGUGGCGAAGGCGGGUCUCUGGGCAGUAACUGACGCUAAUGAGCGAAAGCAUGGGUAGCGAACAGGAUUAGAUACCCUGGUAGGCCAUGCCGUAAACGGUGGGCGCUAGGUGUAGGGGUCUUCCACGACUUCUGUGCCGUAGCUAACGCAUUAAGCGCCCCGCCUGGGGAGUACGGCCGCAAGGCUAAAACUCAAAUGAAUUGACGGGG